rnacentral:rRNA from 1 species
GACAGAGGGUGCAAACGUUGUUCGGAAUUACUGGGCGUAAAGAGUGUGUAGGCGGUGCUCUAAGUUCGUUGUGAAAUCUCCCGGCUUAACUGGGAGGGUGCGGCGGAAACUGGAGUGCUUGAGCGCGGGAGAGGAAAGCGGAAUUCCUGGUGUAGCGGUGAAAUGCGUAGAUAUCAGGAGGAACACCUGUGGUGUAGACGGCUUUCUGGACCGUAGCUGACGCUGAGACACGAAAGCGUGGGUAGCAAACAGG